GAGCGUGGGAAGACUCCAGAAUCCACUCUGGCUGGAAUCCGGUGGAUACAGCAGUGUUACAGAACAGUUCUCCACAGUCACUGUCCACAUGGGUCAGUGGGACCAAGCAGCACUCUGCUAAUGUGGGACUCUGACCAGCAACAUCCAGCAAGACCCAGGCAGCGUUUUCUAUCUCCCUGCUGGAGUUUUUUUGUUUGUCUGUGACUGGAGAGUCAGAUUUUUGUUGAGGCUGGAGGAACAGCCUCACACUUGCAGAGGUUAAUACAUGCUACUGAUCCCUGAUGGGAGAAUCUUCACCUCUGCCAACAAAGAAGCCUGGUGGAUGUUUGUUUACAGUCUGAUGAUGGGACAUCAUGCUCUGCAUCUUCAAAUCUUUUUGCAGGAUCAGAAAACAAAACCAGGAGGCCUGUAAAUGUUUCUUCUCCAGUUGGAUGAUGAUAAGACUGUGACACAGGAUGCCACUUUUAGUCUUGUGAUGAAGCAAAGCUCAGGAAGAAGUGGGAUUAAAUGGUACCCACAUGUGUGCUGCUGAGAAGGAUGUACAGGGGCACCUGCAGCCAAAUCCAAGCCUCCUCAGAAACCUUACUGUUGUAACGGCCUGGCGCCUGCAACUACCGAUCCCCGCACAUGUAUGUACGGACAGAGCAGAGCCGUGGAGACCUGGCUGGUAUGGUGUAUUGUUGCUGGCACCAAAUAAAGGUCUGUUAUUGGAUUUAACCGACUGGCUUCGGGUAUUUCAGCUAACCUCCACACCACAUGCCUGCUGGACCUGCUAGCCGCUCCCGCCUCGCCAGACUGCUGUUACAAGCUUGACUUCAGAGUGUUGUUUACAGUUUUCUGUCAUCAUGAUCUCCCCUGAAGUUUAUCACUGUGAGCCAAGCAAUGGUGACGGUGUGGAGAGACGGUGGUGUUUCCUCAGAAGAACCAGCAGAGUCACAAAGGGCACGAGUCCAUCUCACCACCUUGACUUGCUGACUGAUGCUCGUCUGCACUGCACAGAGGAAAUCAACUGACCGAGGAGUGUUUCUGAGUGAGGGAGAGAGGAGUCAUCAUCCAGGUAAAGUGACGUGGAUCAGUGGAUACACUUGUCUCCCCUUUAAAGGAGACGAUCCGAGUCAUCCUUAAAUAUGGGAAGGAUAUCAGUCUUGGACUGUCUAACCUGCCGGAGCAGCACUAAAUGAUCACCACACAUGAGCAUGUUCCUGCAACAUUCAGCAUCUGAUCUGCCAUCUGUGUGCUUCUGCUUUUGUGUCAAAUGUCCAACAGCUGGAGAGGAAACUACACCAGUGUACUGGGAUGUUUCAUCAACACGUGCCAGACGCUGUAACUUCAUGGUGACAUCACCAGAGACAGCCCCGCCCACCUCAGGACCUCGCCAUUGAUCAUGAUGAUUAUAAUAAUGACAGCGAGCGGAACUAAGACUGUAAAAAUCCACGACCAGAAUGUUUAGAUGCUUUCUAAUUAUUAAUGAAUACUGAGAGCCUCUUUCUGUGUUUUGUCUGUUUUGGUUUUUUUUACCUCAUUUGUUACCAACAAAGUUCAACAAACUCACACAGUUUACAUUCUGUAUGUUUCCAUCUUUACCAGCCACAGUCUGCCCGCAAUUAAGCAAAUAAUCCUUAGAAAUCGUUGUUUUUCUCUUUUGUAAUUGAUGAUAAUUCAGUGAAUAUACUGCGCUGCUUCCUUUUGUUUCGUCUCACAUUGCUUUAAGUUUUUCAGUGUCCAGUUAUUUUUUUACUGCUGUUUGAAUUCUCUGCAUGUUUGACCCUGUAGACUGUUUGAUGGACUGCUUGUCUUCCUGUUUGUAACCGCCGCCUGUUUUUGACUAAAGAUUUGGA